rnacentral:rRNA from 1 species
AGUGAACGCUGGCGGUAGGCCUAACACAUGCAAGUCGAACGGCAGCGCAGUAAAAGCUUGCUCUUACGGGUGGCGAGUGGCGGACGGGUGAGGAAUACAUCGGAAUCUCCUUUUUCGUGGGGGAUCACGUAGGGAAACUUACGCUAAUCCCGCAUACGACCUACGGGUGAAAGCAGGGGAUCUUCGGACCUUUCGCGAUUGAAUGAGCCGAUGUCGGAUUAGCUAGUUGGCGGGGUAAAGGCCCACCAAGGCGACGAUCCGUAGCUGGUCUGAGAGGAUGAUCAGCCACACUGGAACUGAGACACGGUCCAGACUCCUACGGGAGGCAGCAGUGGGGAAUAUUGGACAAUGGGCGCAAGCCUGAUCCAGCCAUACCGCGUGGGUGAAGAAGGCCUUCGGGUUGUAAAGCCCUUUUGUUGGGAAAGAAAAGCAGCAGGUUAAUACCCGGCUGUUCUGACGGUACCCAAAGAAUAAGCACCGGCUAACUUCGUG